AUUGAACGCUGGCGGCAUGCCUUACACAUGCAAGUCGAACGGUAACAGGUCUUCGGACGCUGACGAGUGGCGAACGGGUGAGUAAUACAUCGGAACGUGCCUAGUAGUGGGGGAUAACUACUCGAAAGAGUGGCUAAUACCGCAUGAGAUCUACGGAUGAAAGCAGGGGCUCGCAAGACCUUGUGCUACUAGCGCGGCCGAUGGCAGAUUAGGUAGUUGGUGGGAUAAAAGCUUACCAAGCCGACGAUCUGUAGCUGGUCUGAGAGGACGAUCAGCCACACUGGGACUGAGACACGGCCCAGACUCCUACGGGAGGCAGCAGUGGGGAAUUUUGGACAAUGGGCGCAAGCCUGAUCCAGCAAUGCCGCGUGCAGGAUGAAGGCCUUCGGGUUGUAAACUGCUUUUGUACGGAACGAAAAGCCCCGGGUUAAUACCCUGGGGUCAUGACGGUACCGUAAGAAUAAGCACCGGCUAACUACGUGCCAGCCGCCGCAGUAA
rnacentral:rRNA from 1 species